UGCCAGCAGAAGACACAUGGUUUCAUCUGGCUGCCCUCAGAACACCUAUUUGUGAUCACAUGAAGCAACCUAUGAUUUCAAUGGCUUAACAACUGUCUUUCAUUCUUCUACUGAGGACCUCAGGCAGCAAUUACUAUUGACAGCAGAAGUGAAGUUAGGGGAAAAGACAAUGGCUCUUUCAAAGCAAGGACCUUUCUUCUCCAAGAGACAGCACAGAAGGAUCAAGCCUGCAGGAAAAUCAACCUUUGGAGGAAGAUGAACCAGCAAAGGAGAAGCUGAGAAGGAACUUCCCGGGAAGAAGAAGGGAACCUUGGAAUACAGAAUCUCAGAAACAAAAGAAGGACGUUUCCAAAAGGGGGACUUUCAUGGUAAAUACUGCAGAGAGAUCAAAUAAAAUAAUGAAAAUUGUUGACA